rnacentral:rRNA from 1 species
UACGUAGGGGGCGAGCGUUGUCCGGAAUCAUUGGGCGUAAAGAGCUCGUAGGCGGCUCAGUAAGUCGGGUGUGAAAGUCCAGGGCUCAACCCUGGGAUGCCGGUCGAUACUGCCGGACUAGAGUUCGGAAGAGGCGAGUGGAAUUCCCGGUGUAGCGGUGAAAUGCGUAGAUAUCUGGAGGAACACCGGUGGCGAAGGCGGCAUCCUGGACCUGACUGACGCUGAGGAGCGAAAGCCAGGGGAGCAAACGGG